rnacentral:rRNA from 1 species
GUCUACAGCCAUACCACCCUGAACAUGCCCGAUCUCAUCUGAUCUCGGAAGCUAAGUAGGGUCGGGCCUGGUUAGUACUGGGAUGGGAAGAAUGUGAAUGUAGGUACAAGGCA